AUCCGAAUGGUGAAAUUGGUAAACACAACAAACUUAAAAUUUGUAGGCAGAGUGCCUUGAAGGUUCAAGUCCUUUUUCGGAUA
rfam:Fusarium poae strain 2516 mitochondrion mitochondrial, whole genome shotgun sequence.